rnacentral:lncRNA from 1 species
UAUAAUUGGACCAUUUUGCUUCAAUUUUAGCGUGCAAAUUGGGCAAAAUGGUUCUAGGGCACUUUUGGCACUAUUUUCAUUUUCGGUGGCUUGAAACCCGAUUGUAUCUCCUUCUCUCCUGUGAUUGAAACGAGUGAUAUCAAUUUUCGGUGGCUUGAAGAUAAACCCAUCUGCAUCUCUUUCUCUCUCGCGACUGAGAUUUCCAAACACGCAUUUUCGAUGGCUUGAACUCUUUCAAGAGACUAAGAAUCAUAUCAAAUGUCGAGUUUCUGCAAGAAUAGUAAGUAGUUGCAUUGUAAAUUGGUAAUAUCCAUUUUUGGUAGCUUGAAAAGAAACCCAUUUGCAUCUCUUUCUCUCCCAUGACUUAGAUUUCGAAACACCCAUAUUCUGUGGCUUGAAGUGCUUUCAAGAGAGUGAGAAUCAUAUCAAAUUUCGAGUUUCUUCAAGAAUAGUAAGCAGUUGCAUCUGUUCCACUACCGUUUUUUUGUAAGUAGUUUCCACUAAUUUAUUUAUUUAUCAUUUUUACACCAUUCUCCAGCGGCGUCAAAGACAGGGGAAAAGCUAGCAUCCAACAUCUGGCUACAUAUCUACUGCACCUAACGUUGUUCACCCGAGAGAUGAUUGAAAAAGGUAUUGGUUUGCAUUGGUUUAAUGAUUUUGUAGUUUUUGGUGUAAGAUUUCUAAUGUUUUGCAAUACUAUGACUUCAUGACUCUAGUGUAAGAUUUAGGGGAUUUGUUGUGUGAUUAGCUUAGGUGGUUUUUAUUUACUUUUUUCAUUUCAGCCAUGGUUAUUGCACGCUGUUAAAUUUGAAUUAUCGUUAGAUAAAUUAUUUUAUUGUUGUACAUUAUUCGACAUUGUAAUUAAUUUGUUUGUUGGAGGGAAAGAAACUUUGGAAUAUGAAAAUAACAUUAUAUCGGUGGAGUCCGAUGAUGAAAAUGUUGUGGAUAAUAUGAGCAUACAGGGUGAUGAUAUGUUAGUUGGAGAUGGUGCGAUUGUGCCCGAGAUAGGUAUGAAAUUUAAGGAUGCAAAUGAAAUGUUCGAGUUUUACAAAAGAUAUGCAUACAAAAUUGGUUUCCCAGUUAGAAAGAAAAAUUCGAGAAAGGAUGAUGGAGUAUUGAGAAAUAUUACAUUUGUUUGUAGUCGUGAAGGGAAAAGAAUAAAAAAUACAAGCGGUUCUUUGAAGCCCUCAGCAACCAUUCAGAGUGGAUGUAAAGCCAGGAUCACUGAUGUUCAGAUAUUUGCGGAAUACGAAAAAUUAACACAGUAUACCUGGGUCACAAUCACAAUACAAGCCCUUCGAAAUCUAGGCUAUAUUGAUGCAACCGAGAGUUAAGUGCACAUGUGAAACGACGACUUGAAGUAAAUGACAUGACAGGAAUUUCGUUGCACAAGAGUUACAACUCUGCAGUUGUUGAAGCAGGGAGAUAUAGGAAUAUGACUUGCAUUGAAUGAGAUUGUUGAAACUAUGUCGAAAAAGUGAGACGAUUACGACUUGGAGAAGAGGCACAUCAGCAAUGCAAUCAUACUUCUCUAAAAUGCAAGCACGAUACUCGGGCUUUUACUUUAAUAUGGAUUUGGGUGACGAUUUGCGUCUAAAGAAUGUUUUCUAGGCAAAUAAUAAUAGGAGUAGGCAGGCAUAUAAAGAGUUCGAUGACGUUGUCACGUUCGACACCACGUAUCUCACUAAUAAAUAUGAUAUGCCAUUUGUCCCUUUUGUUGGAGUGAACCACCAUGGACAGUUGACACUCCUUGGAUGUGGUCUGGUAUUGAAUGAGGAUACAGAGACAUUUGUGUGCUAUUUUGGACAUGGCUGUAAUGUAUGUAUGGACAAGCUCCACAUGGGAUAAUUACAGAUCAGGAUAGGGUUAUGCAAAAUACAAUACACAUUGUGUUCUCCAAUACAAAGUAUAGAUGAUGCUUGUGGCACAUACUUAAAAAAUUGCUUGAGAAGUUUGGAUGCCAUGUGGAUAAGAGUUCCAUAUUUAGUACUCUACACGGUUUGGUCUAUGAUUGUCAAUUUGCGGAAGAAUUCAAAAACGACUGGAGAGUGAUGAUCGAAACAUUUAACUUGUAUGAUAAUGAAUGGCUGGCGGGUUUAUAUGAGAAUAGGGGACGUUGGGUACCUUGCUUUUUGAAAACUACAUUGUGGGCAACGAUGUCAACAACUCAACAUAGUGAGAGUAUGAAUGCAUUAUUUGAUGGUUAUGUACAUUCGAAGACGACAUUGAAGCAAUUUGUUGAACCAUACAAAUGAGCAUUGAGAAAUAAGGUUGAGAAAGAGUUUCAAGCGGACUAUCCUUCUCGCAAAUGGUGCCGUGUGCAACGAGAUAUGAAAUGGAGAAACAAUUCCAAGCAAUUUACACAAUUUCAAAAUUCAAGGAAGUUCAAGAAGAGUUCACAGGUAAGGUUUAUUGCGACCUCAUAUCUAUUUUGAAGGGACCAUCGGGGACGACUUAUGAGAUACGAGAGGAUGUAAUACAUGAUGAGCGUUCGAAGAAAAAAAACUUUUUCUUCUCAUUUCAAAGAGACGGAUGUGAAAUCACUUGCAGUUGUCACAAUUUUGAGUUUCGAGGGAUUAUUUGCAGACAUACGAUCACAGUAUUGAUUUGUAAUGAUAUCAAAUCUGUACCAGAAAGGUAUAUUAUAUGGAGAUGGCGAUGAGAUGUCAGUAGAGCCCACACGACGGUAACAGUGCAUUAUGAUGCUAUGGUUAGUAUUCCUAGACAACUGAGGUACAACAAAAUGUGGAACAUGAUGGCAGAUGAUGAAGUCAAAUCCAAUGUCAUAAUUGAGUGGAUCGAUAGUCAAUGUAAAGAAAUGAUGAUGUAGAAGUCAAAUAGUAAUAGUAAUAUCCUAUCCCCGCAUAUUACUCAGACAUCAUCCGAGUAUGGAGCAUCACUGGAUAUUGGAAGUGGUAGCAUCAGGGAUCCAGAAUGUGCGAAAAGAAAAUGUGCCCCUAGGAAACUUCAGAAGAAUAGCCCAUUGGAAUCAAGUAUGAACAGAGUUAAGGUAAUGCCCAGAUUUUGGUAUCCAAAUGUUGUAAAGUUAUUGUAGAGAUAAUGUCUAAUACCAUUCCCUGUUUUGUAGCCAACUUCGAGUUCAACGAAGGGAAGAAAUCGAAGGUUCGUGCAAGUAAUAUGGGAACUGAUGCACCCAUCGUUUAGUUACCUCAACAAUUACACGUGCUGCUACCUUUCUCAAAUACACACUUCCUUAUGGUUAGUACUCAGUGUAUGGUUUAAUUGCAUUGAAAAUAUACGAUGCACUAAUAAUGUUAUUUCAUGUAGGGUGGCAACCAAAAUCUUCAAUUCACUCAACACUUGCAGUCCACAUGUAUCAACCCUCCAUCCUAACAAGUCUUCUAUUCAAUAUGCAAGGUAACAUAGUUGUUAUAUAGAACAUAAUAGUUUACAAACAUUAUUCAUUACUAUGUAAUAAACAACCUUAAGUGGAGUUGGCAUUUGAAGGUUUGGCUAGAAGACAUAUGAAUGAUGCUGCUGACAAUGAAACACGACAGUUAAAUACAGAUGCACUUGCAAAAGUUGGACCUUCUAUAACAUCAUCAACCCCAAUAUAUGAGUUCUAGACAUGUAUCUGGACAUCUUCACGUUGGCUAAACACUGAGGGAUAGCUAAUCAAGAAUAUGGUUUUUGGUAUUUAUGUAAGUUGCUACAUAGUACAACUAAAGAAAUUAUUGUUUUCGGAUUCCAUCGAAAACAAUGCUUAAUCUGAUAAAAGUGGGUAAUUAUUAGGAAAGCGCUUACAUGUUUUCAAUAUGACAAGGCUGUGCUAUAACCGUAUGAUAAAAGUGGGUAAUUAUUUGCCAUCCUGGCGUUACCAUAUGAUAUGGAUGCACACAACUUGUGUUGCAGACUUUGGAGUGCACAAUGAUAAGCUUCAUUGUACCUAGACCUAAGUCAGAGUUUCUAAUAUUUUUGUUGGACAUCUAAUGCUGCUAAGUAUUUUUCUCCCCUCUUUUACAGAAUAAGAUUUUUAUUUGUAGGGUUAGAGUGAUUGGUUGUGGAUUGAAUUAAAUACUUGGCACGUACAUAUAAAGAGACUGGAGAACAUAUUAUUUUGAUAUACCCUUUGAUCCUUUCAGCUUCUGAUUGCAUUUGUUGCUUAGUUCGAAUUUGGAAUAGCUUAAUAAUUGAGUUUGUAUGAUCUCUUAGUUACGAAUUCAAUAAUGACAUCAGAUUACUUGAAGUUGAGUUUGUUUACUUCGGUUGGAAAUUCCAAAUCAGAUUACUUGAAGAAGUUGAGUAUGUUUACUUCUGUUCGAAAUUCCAAUGAACUUUUUCAACUUCCAACAAUGGAGAACAAGCUGACUAUUCUGCAGUUAAUUUAUUCAGUUAAGUUUUUAUUAUAGUUGUGUGAUUGACGAUUUGUUUUUAUUCAAGUUUUGGGAUCAACUUCUUGGUGUUUUUCCAUAGAUAUAUCAUACUGAUAUUUAUCCCCAAAAUACAAAAAUGGAAGCAGGUCUUUUCAGGGGCGGAUCCGGAUAGUUCGAACUGUAGGGUCAAAAAUGAAUUUUUUUUCUCACAACGUAUUAUUA